rnacentral:misc_RNA from 1 species
UGCUCCUCCAGCUGGACCUCGUCGUAGAACUGGCGCUGCUGCCCUGAUCGGGAACAUUUUUAAGUGGAACCAACUGCAUAAUAAAUAAUCUGAAGGAGAAAGCAGAGUAAAUGAACUGCCGCUACUUACAGUCAUGCACACCCUUUGGCUUCUUGAGCACAGCCGCAUCGCUGCAAUUUUGUACACGGUGGUUCCGAGACAGACGAAUGAGUUUUACUUUCAACAUGCCCGGCGAAUUGUUAUUGCUGAAAUGCAACACAUAAUUUACAAUGAAUACUUGCCCGUCAUAAUUGUUCCUAUGAUGGCUGCCAAAGUUGCGUUGGGAAAUGGCUAUUUAAAUACUGGAAAUCCGGCGAUAUUUACCGAGAUCUUCAUUGCCGCCUUCCGCAAGGGCCACUCUCAAUUGAAAAGCUUCAUACGACUGUUUGAGAGAGACGGAAGUUUCAGCAGAGAUAGUAACCAACUUAUCAGCUCUCAGAUUCGUUCGAUAACUCCUCCCGGCUUUUUGGAUCCAAUUUCGUGGAUAAGGCUCUUCGGGGCCUCCUUCAUGUACCUGCCGAAGAAGUGGACAGCUCUUUUGCUUUCGACAUCACAAGUCAACUUGUUAAGCCAAAAGGAGUACACUUGGACUGGAUCUGACAGCUCUCAACAUUCAACGAGGAAGAGAUCAACGGCCUGCCAACAUACGCUAAAAUGCUGGCUUUCUUCGGAAAACCUUUGCCGUCUAGUUUCGACCAACUGCUUUCUUAUAUACCAAUCGAAGUCGUCAACGCUAUGAAGUUCGUGUACGAGUCAGUGUACGACAUUGACCUGUUUAUUGGCGGAGUGACCAAAUAGGCGAAUACCCAAUAACCGACGCUGUGCUCGGCCCCACAUUCGCCGAUAUCUUCGCCUUUCAAUUUUCGAAUCUGAGGCGGAGUGAUCGUUUCUUUUACAAAUUCAAUGUCGAUCAACCCACCAGCUUCAGAUCAGGUCAACUGGCAGAAAUUCAAAAAGUCUCUUUGGCGCGCAUUAUAUGUGACAAAAGCGAUGUCAUCCAACCCAAAGCUUUCCGCACUCCCCACGAGAUUCAAUUAAUAUUUGGAUUUUGGAUGAUGUUCGAGCUGUCUGAAAAAGUAAAAAUCUGUCUCCCUGUCUGUCUGGAACGGGAAGCAGUCCAGCCCAGUCCUGCCGUUCAUUAUGCUGCGAGUAAUCUGUCGACUGUCACUAGGUGGCUAAAACCUAAAAUUAUGUCCACCAGAUGGCGAUGAGUCCAUCGGUUAGCGAGUGACAAUUGUCGCCAUUUUCUCCCGAGACGAAGAGCGAGUGUGAUUCUGAAUGGAAAUCGUUGUGAUGUACGGCAAAUUGAAAAGGCUAACAGCCUGCAAAAGUCUGAGCUCCUUUGUUGCUGCCCCUUAUGCACACAGGUAUUUGAUGCAGCCAGCUGGUUAAGGAAUGUUCCUCUUGCUACCUGUACCUGUAGUCCUGUACUGCUUUUUGAACAUAGUUUCUAUUUCUAGUUCUUUUAACUAUGUUGGUACGACCAACAAUUGUGUAGCUUUUUAUUUGCAGAAAUUUUCUGAAUCAAUAAUAAAAUAAGAUAAGGUUAA